rnacentral:rRNA from 1 species
UGGGGAAUUUUGGACAAUGGGCGAAAGCCUGAUCCAGCAAUGCCGCGUGUGUGAAGAAGGCCUUCGGGUUGUAAAGCACUUUUGUCCGGAAAGAAAUCCUUGGCUCUAAUACAGUCGGGGGAUGACGGUACCGGAAGAAUAAGCACCGGCUAACUACGUGCCAGCAGCCGCGGUAAUACGUAGGGUGCAAGCGUUAAUCGGAAUUACUGGGCGUAAAGCGUGCGCAGGCGGUUUGCUAAGACCGAUGUGAAAUCCCCGGGCGUCAACCUGGGCAACUGGCAUGGUGACUGGCAGGCUAGAGUAUGGCAGAGGGGGGUAGAAUUCCACGUGUAGCAGUGAAAUGCGUAGAGAUGUGGAGGAAUACCGAUGGCGAAGGCAGCCCCCUGGGCCAAUACUGACGCUCAUGCACGAAAGCGUGGGGAGCAAACAGGAUUAGAUACCCUGGUAGUCCACGCCCUAAAACGAUGUCAACUAGUUGUUGGGGGAUUCAUUUCCUUAGUAACGUAGCUAACGCGUGAAGUUGACCGCCUGGGGGAGUACGGUCGCAAGAUUAAAACUUAAAUGAAUUGACGGGGUCAUAGCUGUUUCCU